UUGUCGUUUUCAAAUUAUGCUAAUUUGAAUUUAUUUUGUUUUGUGAGGACUAUUGCUAUUGAUUACCGGAUUCAACUUCAAGCUCGAGUUAUUUAGGUACUUUUUGUUAGUACUUUAUGUUGUUUUUUAUUUAUAGCAUGAUUUUAAUGUUUGAGUAACGAGUAGUGACUGCUUUGCAUUUUUUUUGUUUUGCGAGGACUAAUUCUGUUGACUAUCGGGUUUAAUUUCAAGCUCAAGUUAUUAGGGUAUUAGUAGUUAUGGCCGUAUGUUGUACUUUGUCUUUUUCAAAUUAUGCUAAUUAAUUUGAAUUUUGAGUAAAUGAGUUGUGACGAUUUUUCAUUUAUUUGUGUUAGUGAGGACUAUGCUAUUGACUAUCAUCGACCAAGUGGGUGUACCGUGUAAUUGCGAUGCCUAGAAGGCCCAAGUACUCUCAAAUCCAUAUCUCACGCCUUGAAUGUUGUGGGACGUAACUGUGGCUUUAAAUUUUGUAGAUUUAUCUUGGGCCAUAAUAACCUGAACUUGAAGUUCCCCGGUUCAAUUUCAAGCUCAAGUUAAUUAGGAAUUAUUAGACAAGGCCUUAUGUGGUACUUUGUCCUUUUUAAAAUUAUCUGAUUUGAUUUUUUUUGUGUAAAGAUGUGUGACUUGUUUUUGCAUUUGUUCUGUUUUGCAAGGAUUAUUGCUUAUUGAAUUACCGUAUUCACUUCAAGCUCGAGUUAUUAGUACUUUUUGUUAGUACUUUAUGUUGUUUUUAUUAUGCAUGAUUUAAAUGUUGAGUAACGAGUAGUGGACUGCUUUGCAUUUUUUGUUUUUGGCGAGGACUAAUACUGUUUACUAUCGGGUUUAGUUUCAAGCUCAAGUUAUUAGUGUAGUAGUAUUAUUGCCGUAGGUUACUUAUCUUUUUCAAAUUAUGGUAAUUUUGAGAAUUUUUUUGAGUAAUGAUUUGUGACUAUUUUGGCAUUUAUUUUGUUUAGUGGGACUAAUACUUUUGACUAUCCGAGUUUAAUUCAAGCUCAAGUUAUUAUGGGUAUUAGUAGUUAUGGGCCGUAUUUUGUACUUUGUCCUUUUUUCAAUUUAUGCUAAUGUUGAAUUUUUGAUUAUGAUUGUGACUAUUUUGCAUUUAAAUUGUUAGUGAGGAUAUUGCUAUUGACUAUUGUACUCCGUGGGUGUACCGGUGCUAUAAUAGCGAUGCCCAUGCCCAAGUACUCUCAAUCCAUAUCUCUCUCCGCGCCUUUGAAUGUUGUGGUACUUACUGUGGCUUUAAAUUUUGUUAUUAAUCUUGGGCCUUAACUUAACCUGACGUGAAUUUCCCCGGGUUUAAUUUCAUUCAAGCAAGCUCAAUAAUUAGGUAUUAUUAGACAAGGCCUUAUGUUGUACUUUGUCUUUUUAAAAUUAUGCUGAUUUGAGUUUUUGUGUAAUAUGUAGUGACUGUUUUGCAUUUGUUCUGUUUUGUGAGGACUAUUGCUAUUGACUACCAGAUUCAACUUCAAGCUCGAGUUAUUUAGGUACUUUUUGUUAGUACUUUAUGUUGUUUUUUAUUUAUAGCAUGAUUUUAAUGUUUGCGUACGAGUAGGAUGCAUUUGCAUUUUUUUUGUUUUGCAAGGGUAUACUGUUGACUAUCGGGUUUUUAAUUUCAGCUAAUUUAUUAGUGUAAUUAGUAGUAAUUGCCGUAAUGUUGUACUUUACGUUUUUUUAAAUUAUGCUAAUUUGAAUUUUUGGUAUGAGUGUGACUAUUUUGCAUUUAUUCUUGUUUGUGAGGACUAUUGCUAUUGAAUAUCGGACUCAAGUGGGUGUACCGUGCUAAUAGCGAUGCCUAGGCCCAAGUACGCUCAAAUCCAUAUCUCCACGCCUUUGAAUGUUGUGAACGUACUGUGCUUUAAAUUUGUGGUAUAUUCUUGGCCUUAAUUAACUUGAACUUGAAGUUCCCCGGGUUCAAUUUCAAGCUCAAGUUAAUUAGGUAUUAUUAGACAAGGCCUUAUGUUGUACUUCGUCUUUUUAAAAUUAUGCUGAUUUGAGUUUUUGUGUAAUAUGUAGUGACUGUUUUGCAUUUGUUCUGUUUUGCGAGGACUAUUGCUAUUGACUACCAGAUUCAACUUCAAGCUCGAGUUAUUUAGGUACUUUUUGUUAGUACUUUAUGUUGUUUUUUAUUUAUAGCAUGAUUUUAAUGUUUGAGUAACGAGUAGUGACUGCUUUGCAUUUUUUUUGUUUUGCGAGGAGUAAUACUGUUGACUCAUCAGGUUUAUUUCAAUCUCCAAGUUAUUAGAGUAUUAGUAGUUUAUGGUCGUAUGUUGUACUUUGUCUUUUUUAAUUACGCUAAUGUUGAAUUUUGAGUAAUGAGUUUGACUAUUUUGCAAUUUAGUUGUUUUGGUGAGGACCUAUUGCUAUUGAAUAUCGACUCAAGUGGGUGUACCGUUCUAAUAGCGAUGCCUAGGCCCAAGUACGCUCAAAUACAUAUUCUCACGACUUGAAUGUUGUGGUACGUAACUGUGGCUUUAAAUUUUGUAUAUUUAUCUUGGGCCUUAAUUAACUUGAACUUGAAGUUCCCCGGGUUCAAUUUCAAGCUCAAGUUAAUUAGGUAUUGUUAGACAAGGCCUUAUGUUGUAAUUUGUCUUUUUAAAAUUAUGCUGAUUUGAGUUUUUGUGUAAUAUGUAGUGACUGUUUUGCAUUUGUUCUGUUUUGUGAGGACUAUUGCUAUUGACUACCAGAUUCAACUUCAAGCUCGAGUUAUUUAGGUACUUUUUGUUUGUACUUUAUGUUUUUUAUUUAUAGCAUAUUUUAAUGUUUGAGUAACGUGGUAGUGACUGCUUUGAAUUUUUUGUUUUGCGGAGGACUAAUAUGUUGACUAUCGGGUUUAAUUUCAAUUCUCAAAGUUAUUAGGGUAAUUAGUUAGUUAUGGCCGUAUGUUGUACUUUGUUUUUUCACAUUAUUGCUAAUUGAAUUUUUGGAGUAAUGAGUUGUGACUUAUUUUGGCAUUUAUUUUGUUGUAGUACGGACUAUUGAUAUGACUAUCGUGACUCAAGUGGUGUGUUACCGUGCUAAUAGCGAUGCCUAGGGGCCAAGUACUCUCAAACAUUAUAUCCUCGGCCUUUGGAAUGUUGUGGUUCUUAAGUAACCUGAACUUGAAGUUCCCCGGGUUCAAUUUCCAGCUCAAAGUUAUUAGUUAUUAUUAGGGCAAGGCCUUAUGUUGUACUUUGUCUUUUUAAAAUUAUGCUGAUGUGAGUUUUUGUGUAAUAUGUAGCGAUGUUUUGAUUUGUUCGUUUGCGAGGGACUAUUGCUAUUGACUACGGAUCAACUUCAACGGCUCGAGUUUUUAGGUACUUUUUGUUAGACUUUAUGUGUUUGAUUUAUAGCAUCAUGAUUUUAAGUUUGAGUAACGAGUGAGUGGAAUGCUUUGCAUUUUUUUGUUUUGCGCAGGGAGUAAUUAAUGUUGACUAUCAGGUUUAAUUUCAAGCUCAAGUUAUUAGGGUAUUAGUAGGUUAUGGGACCGUAUUUGUACUUUGUCUUUUUCAAAUUAUGCUAAUUUGAAUUUUUGAGUAAUGAGUUGUGACUAUUUGCAUGUAAUUUGUUUAAGUGAGGACUAUUGCUAAUUGGACUAUUGGACUCAAGUUGGUUGUACCGUUGCUAAUAGGGAUGCCUAGGCCAAAAGUACUAUCAAUCAUAUCUCCGCGCCUUGGAAAUGGUGUGGUACGAACUGGUGGCUUUAAAUUUGGUAUAUUUUUUCUUGGGCCUUAAUUAACCUGAACUUGAAGUUCCCCGGGUUCAUUCAAGCUCAAGUAAUAGGUAUUAUUAGAUAAGGCCUUCUUAUGAGAUUUGUCUUUUUAAAAUUAUGUUGAUUUGAGUUUUUGUGUAAUAUGUAGUGACUGUUUUGCAUUUGUUCUGUUUUACGAGGACUAUUGCUAUUGAUUAUCGAACUCAACUUCAAUCUCGAGUUAUUUAGGUACUUUUUGUUAGUACUUUAUUUAUUUCAAAUUAUUUUUUUUGUUUUGCGAGGACUAAUACUGUUGACUAUCGGGUUUAAUUUUAAGCUCAAGUUAUUAGGGUAUUAGUAGUUAUGGCCGUAUGUUGUACUUUGUCUUUUCAAAAUUAUGCUAAUUUGAAUUUUGGAGUAAUGGAGUUGUGACCUAGUUGCAUUUAUUUUGUUUAGUGAGGACUAUUGCUAUGAACUAUCGUAACUCAAGUGGGCUUGAUACCGUGCUAUAACGAUAGCCUAGGCCCAAGGACUCUCAAUCCAUAUCUCCACGCCUUGAAUGUUGUGGUACGGAACGUGGCUUGAAAAUUUUUGUAUAUUUAUCUUGCGCCUUAAUUAAACUGGAACUUGAAGUUCACCGGGGUUCAAUUCAAGCUCAGUUAAUUAGGUAUUAUAGACCAAGGCCUUAUGUUGUAACUUUGUCUUUUUAAAUUAUUAUGUGAUGAGUUUUGUGUAAUAUGUAGUGGACUGUUUUGCCUUUGGUUUGUUUUCGGAGGACUAUGGCUAUUGACUACCGGGUUCACUUCAAUCUCGAGGUUAUUUAGGUACUUUUUGGUUAGUAUUUUAUGUGGUUUUUUAUUUAUAGCAUUGAUUUCUACUGUUUGAGUAACGAGUAAGUGACUCUUUGGGUGCAUUUUUUUGUUUUGCGAGGAGUAAUUAUGUGGACUAUCGGGUUAAUUUUCAAUCUCAAGUUAUUAGUGUAUUAGUAGUAUGCCCGUAGUAUGUUGUACUGUCUUUUCAAAUUAUUGCUAAUUUGAAUUUUUGGUAAUGAGUGUGACUAUUUUGCAUUAUUUUGUAUAGUGAGGACUAUUGCUAUUGACUAUCGGGACUCAAAGGGUUGUACGCGUUGAUAAUAGCGAUGCUAGGCCCAAAGUAGCCUCAAUUCCAUAUCUCCACGCCUUUGAAUGUUGUGUACGUAACUGUGCCUUUAAUUUGCUAAUUUGUCUUGGGCCUUAAUUAACCUUGAACUGAAGUUCCCCGGGUUCAAUUUCAAGCUUCACAGUUAAUAGGUAUAUGAAGACAAAAGGCCUUUUGUUGUACUUUGGGUUUUUUAAAAUUAUGCUGAUUUGAGUUUUUGUGUAAUAUGUAGGGGACUGUUUGGCAUUUGUUCUGUUUUGCGAGGAAUAUGCUAUUGACUACCGGAUGGAAUUCAACUUCUAAGCUCGAGUUAUUAGGUACCUUUUUGUUAGUACUUAUGUUGUUUUUUUUAUUUAUAGCAUGAUUUAAUGUUUGGAGUAAACGAGUAGUGAUGCUUUGCAUUUUUUUUGUUUUGCAGAGGAGUAAUAAGUUGACUAUCGGUUAAUUUCAAUCUCAAGUUAUUAGUGUAUAGUAGUUAUGGCCGUUUGUUGUACUUUGUCUUUUUCAAAUUAUGCUAAUUUGAAUUUUUGGGUGGUAAUGAGUUGUGGAACUAUUUUGCAUUAUUUUGGUUGUUCCCUUGGGAACUAUUGCUAUGAAUAUGGGACUCGCAAGUGGGGUACCGUGCUAAUAGCGAUCCCUAGGCCCAAGUACGCUCAAAUCCAUAUCUCCACGCCUUUUUGAAUGUUGUGGACUUAAAUGUGCUGUUAAAUUUUGUAUAUUUAUCUUGGGCCUUUAAUAACUUCUAAUUGAAGUGCCCCGGGGUUCAAUUUCAAGCGAUAGUUAAUUAGGUAAUUGUUCGACAGCCUACUAAUGUGUAAUUUCUCUGUUUAAAAUUUAUGCUGUGAUAAUUGUGAUUUGAUUGAAUUUUUGUGUAAUAUGUAGUGACUGUGGUUUGCAUUUGUUGUUCUGUGAGGGACUAUUGUAUUGACUUACCAGCUUCAACUUCAGCUCGAGUUAUUUAGGUACUUGUGUUAGUUACUUUAUGUUGUUUUGUAGUUUAUAGAAUGUUUAAUGUUGCGUAACGAGUCGGAUGAUUUGCGUUUUUUUUUUUUGUUGCGAGGACUAAUACUGUUGACUAUCGGGUUAAUUUCAAGCUCAAGGUAAUUAGGGUAUAGUAGUUAUGGCGUAUGUUGUACUUUGUCUUUUUCAAAUUAUGCUAAUUUGAAUUGUUGAGUUAAUGGAGUUGUGACUUAUUUUGCAUUUAUUUUGUUUAGUGAGGACUAUGCUAUUGGAAUAUUGUGACUCAAGGCGGUUUGGUACCGUGACUAAUAGCCGAUGCCUAGGCCAAGUAGUAACUCUCAAAUCCAUAUUCGCGCCUUUGAACUGUGCGUGGUACGUAAUUGUGGUUUUAAAUUUGAAUUUAUCUGGGCUUUAUAAACCUGAAAUUGAAGGUCCCCGGGGUUUAAUUUCAAGCUCAAGUUAAUUAGGUAUUAUUAGACAAGGACCCUUAUGUUGUACUUUGUCGUUUUUAAAAUUAUGUGAUUGAGUUUUUGUGUAUAUGUAGUGACUGUUUUGCAUUUGUCUGUUUUGCGAGGAUAUUGCUAUUGGACUACGGAUUCAUUCAACUUCAAGCUAGAGUUAUUUAGGGACUUUUGUUAGUACUUUAGGUGUUAUUUAGUUUUAUAGCAUGAUUUAACGUUUGAGUACGAGUACUGAUGCUUUCACUUUUUUGUUUUGCGAGGACUAAUACUGUUGACUAUCGGGUUUAAUUUCAAGCUCAAGUUAUUAGGGUAUUAGUAGUUAUGGCCGUAUGUUGUACUUUGUCUUUUUCAAAUUAUGCUAAUUUGAAUUUUUGAGUAAUGAGUUGUGACUAUUUUGCAUUUAUUUUGUUUAGUGAGGACUAUUGCUAUUGACUAUUGGACUCAAGUGGGUGUACCGUGCUAAUAGCGAUGCCUAGGCCCAAGUACUCUCAAAUCCAUAUCUCCGCGCCUUUGAAUGUUGUGGUACGUAAUUGUGGUUUUAAAUUUUGAAUAUUUAUCUUGGGCCUUAAUUAACCUGAAAUUGAAGGUCCCCGGGUUUAAUUUCAAGCUCAAGUUAAUUAGGUAUUAUUAGACAAGGCCUUAUGUUGUACUUUGUCUUUUUAAAAUUAUGCUGAUUUGAGUUUUUGUGUAAUAUGUAGUGACUGUUUUGCAUUUGUUCUGUUUUGCGAGGACUAUUGCUAUUGACUACCGGAUUCAACUUCAAGCUCGAGUUAUUUAGGUACUUUUUGUUAGUACUUUAUGUUGUUUUUUAUUUAUAGCAUGAUUUUAAUGUUUGAGUAACGAGUACUGACUGCUUUGCAUUUUUUUUGUUUUGCGAGGAGUAAUACUGUUGACUAUCGGGUUUAAUUUCAAGCUCAAGUUAUUAGGGUAUUAGUAGUUAUGGCCGUAUGUUGUACUUUGUCGUUUUCAAAUUAUGCUAAUUUGAAUUUAUUUUGUUUUGUGAGGACUAUUGCUAUUGAUUACCGGAUUCAACUUCAAGCUCGAGUUAUUUAGGUACUUUUUGUUAGUACUUUAUGUUGUUUUUUAUUUAUAGCAUGAUUUUAAUGUUUGAGUAACGAGUAGUGACUGCUUUGCAUUUUUUUUGUUUUGCGAUGAGUACUACUGUUGACUAUCGGGUUUAAUUUCAAGCUCAAGUUAUUUUUAGGGGUAUAGUAUUAUGGCCGUAUGUUGUACUUUGUCGUUUUCAAAUUAUGCUAA
rnacentral:lncRNA from 1 species